AGUGAACGCUGGCGGUAGGCCUAACACAUGCAAGUCGAACGGCAACACAGUAAGAGCUUGCUCUUACGGGUGGCGAGUGGCGGACGGGUGAGGAAUACAUCGGAAUCUACUUUUUCGUGGGGGAUAACGUAGGGAAACUUACGCUAAUACCGCAUACGACCUACGGGUGAAAGCAGGGGAUCUUCGGACCUUGCGCGAUUGAAUGAGCCGAUGUCGGAUUAGCUAGUUGGCGGGGUAAAGGCCCACCAAGGCGACGAUCCGUAGCUGGUCUGAGAGGAUGAUCAGCCACACUGGAACUGAGACACGGUCCAGACUCCUACGGGAGGCAGCAGUGGGGAAUAUUGGACAAUGGGCGCAAGCCUGAUCCAGCCAUACCGCGUGGGUGAAGAAGGACUUCGGGUUGUAAAGCCCUUUUGUUGGGAAAGAAAAGCAGCAGGUUAAUACCCCGCUGUUCUGACGGUACCCAAAGAAUAAGCACCGGCUAACUUCGUG
rnacentral:rRNA from 1 species